rnacentral:rRNA from 1 species
AGCAGCCGCGGUAAUUCCAGCUCCAAUAGCGUAUAUUAAAGUUGUUGCAGUUAAAAAGCUCGUAGUUGAAUUUCGGGAUUGGCGCAUCGGUCGUGCCUCACGGGGUAUGAACUGGUGCAGUCAAUUUCUCACCUUCUGGAGAACCGCGAUGUCCUUAAUUGGAUGCCGCGGGGAACCAGGACCUUUACUCUGAAAAAUUAGAGUGUUUAAAGCAGGCAUUUUUGCUUGAAUACAUUAGCAUGGAAUAAUAAAAUAGGACGGCAUGGUUCUAUUUUGUUGGUUUCUAGGACCACCGUAAUGAUUAAUAGGGAUAGUUGGGGGCAUUAGUAUUCAAUUGUCAGAGGUGAAAUUCUUGGAUUUAUUGAAGACUAACUACUGCGAAAGCCAUUUGCCAAGGAUGUUUUCAUUAAUCAAGAACGAAAGUUAGGGGAUCGAGACGAUCAGAUACCGUCGUAGUCUUAACCAAUAAACUAUGCCGAC